rnacentral:pre_miRNA from 12 species
AACCGCCUGUAGAAAUUGAUUUCCACAGGCGGAUAUCAUAACUGAACCGCCUGUAGAAAUCUAUUUCUACAGGCGGUU